UGAUCCGGAGAGAGAGAGAGAGAGAGAGGGGAAAUCCCAGGGGAUUCCCCCAGAGUGAGGACACAGAGAGACCCGAGGCUACCAGGGGUGGACUUCUACAUCCCACCAGCGGAGAGGAUCAAUGUCCAAUCCAAUUUUGGCAGUUUCAGAAAGUGACUGGCAACAUGGCAGAGAGAGUGAGUGGCCAUCAGAUGACCCAAGACUGUUGAAGAUACUGAACUGGGUCAGUGUCUA